GUGAAUGCUUGCUGAAAAUAAAGAGCCUUCCUUUAAUAAAGUUAAAAAGAAGAAAAGAAAGCGCAACUUGGAUACAUAACAAAACAAAUAAUAUGAAAAGGAUCGAUCCCAAACCACCCCUUCCACAGAAAUCAUUCAACCCCUUUACAAGCAGAGUUAGAUCUCAUUACUGAAACGAAAUUAACCAUAAAAUCACAGCAGCAACAACAGAUUUAUCGCUAUUGGUUCCAAAGCAAAACAGAAAAUGAUGCUACAGUAUCACACAUAUAAGAUAGAGAGAGACUAGCCAGUGUAGACGUGGACUCCAAUUGCAAUUAGGAAGAUAGUGAUGAGACCAAAAUAGAUAAUAGCAUGAACAACAAUAGAAGCGCCACUUGUCUGCAUGUUCCCAAACUCAACCACCCUAUUCUUUCCAGGUAUCUGAAACAACAGCCCUGGCGUUAACAGCACGAACAGCACCACUGCUAUUAGCACUGGCCCCCAAUCUGCCAUCCCCUUUUCCUUUCGAAACAGAGCCUACCGAUGAAUACUAAACAAAGAUCUAGCCAAUGGAACGAAACAGCUAGCUGACUCUUCGACAACUGCAUUCACAUGGAUGCUUCUCGUGAGUCGUGAACUGAAAUGGACUGGAUGCAUCCCAAUAAAUGCGUUUCAACGGUUGUGAUCUUAUUGGGAAAAACAUUUUUUUUCUCGAUUAGGGCCAUCUGUGCAUGGGCUUCUUUUGUUUACUACUGUAAUGGGUUUAAAACUAGGAUAUGCCCUGCCCAUGAAAUUUAUAGAAUACUCCAGUCCACAGCAUCAACAAAUGGGGAAGAAACAGAUACAGAAAUGGUAAACAAAGAAAAAUGCAAACCAUGAGAAAACGGGGAAACAGUAAGCCCAUUACAAAAAAUAAGACAGAUCCAACAAGCUGCUUGUACUAUUGAAUCCACAUUCGCCUGUAACACAAUCUUAACAAAUUAAUAAAAGAAUGUAAAGAUUACAGCUCAUCUCCGAGUUGGAACGAUGCUGAUUUUUACUGGCCCGUGUAGAUGCGAAUGCCAACUGCUAGAAUGAGGAUGGUAAAGACUACAAAGAAGAUGAGAGUGUGAACAAGCACAGCCUUCCCAUUGGUCUUGAAGCUGCCAAAUUCCACAUGCCUGGUGCUCCCUGGUAGCUGGAAUAUGAGGCCAGGAGAAAGAAGUAUGAAUAAUAGAAAUCCCACUAAUAUAGGUGCCCAAUCCGCCAUUGCUUAAUCAGCUUUCUACUCCGUUUGAAAAUGUACGAACAAGAAUGCUUGAUGCAAUUGAAAGAGAAGCAUAAGCGAAGGGCAGUCUAUUUCAGUAAUAUAUGCGAAUCCAUUUAUGCUGUGUGUGCAUUACAAAAGUGGGGCCGGACAGGAACAUGUUUUCUGAAACUCUAGCAUUCUUUUCAUGGAAGAAAUGUAUCAAAUCAUUUGAAUGAAAGACUUCAAAUUAUGGUUGGAAUCUGUUUUUAUGUUCUUACAUAACCACUCACAAUUCAAGUCUCCAUUUUUCCUCCAGCACUUGAACUAAAUGCUCACGCAACGGACCUUUUAAUAGCGUUUCUUUUAAAUCAAAGAAACUAGGGAGCCCUUUAAGCAUCUUCUCCUUCGAAAAAUUCUUUUCAUCCGUAUGGCUUAAUGCCCGCUUGAGAAAGAGGAGAGGGGCCAAAUUAAAUGGGGGAGAAAAG
rnacentral:misc_RNA from 1 species